UGCUGAGUUCACUCGGUGUGAGUGGAGAG
rnacentral:piRNA from 2 species